UACGUAGGGUGCAAGCGUUGUUCGGAAUUAUUGGGCGUAAAGAGCGUGUAGGUGGUUAGGAAAGUUGGAUGUGAAAGCCCUAGGCUCAACCUAGGAAGUGCAUCCAAAACUGCUUAGCUAGAGGGCGAGAGAGGGAGGUGGAAUUCCUAGUGUAGAGGUGAAAUUCGUAGAUAUUAGGAGGAAUACCGGUGGCGAAGGCGGCCUCCUGGAUCGAUCCUGACACUGAGACGCGAAAGCGUGGGGAGCAAACAGGAUUAGAUACCCCCGUA
rnacentral:rRNA from 1 species